AAGCCUUAGCAGCCUGUAAAGGUGCUCCUCGACACACGAUAAAGAAACGAGGUUUAGCUAGUCAGUUUAAAUCUGGCAAGACCGUCAAAUUGCGGGCAGUCCCUAAAGAUUUCACUACCAAGCGACAGUGGAAACAUUGUCGUGGCCUGAGUAACGCUCAAGGGUAUGGUCACAACGUUUCCGUAGGUGAACCUGCGGAAGGAUCAUUA
rnacentral:rRNA from 1 species